rnacentral:lncRNA from 1 species
AGGCAUUUGGUUACUGGCACUAGCUUGAUCUUAAGUUGCCAUAUUUUUAAGCCAAGCAAACGUCAAUUAAUACAAAUCAUGUUAAGUUUUUGUUAGUGUUAUAUACUUUGCUGUAGAGUGUUCUUUUGAUCCCGACUAUUAGUAUCCUUUCAUGUCUUAAGAGGGCAAAAGCCAUGACAUCUUUAGUUACAAGAAAUAAUCUUGUACUANNNNNNNNNNNNNCUCUGUAGCUGAUCUGGUUGCUUUUACUUCUUUUCCUGUAUUGGCCACAGCUUGACCCUGAUGAUCUAAAAAGAAAGCCUUGUACCGACUGUAAGUAGUGUCUCUCCGUCCAAAGUAGUAUUUUCUACAUGAACCUUUUGUUUUGUAGGCU